GAUGAACGCUGGCUACAGGCUUAACACAUGCAAGUCGAGGGGAAACGACGGGGAAGCUUGCUUCCCCGGGCGUCGACCGGCGCACGGGUGAGUAACGCGUAUCCAACCUGCCUCUGACUGAGGGAUAACCCGUCGAAAGUCGGCCUAAUACCUCAUGGCAUCGUCUGCGGGCAUCCAACGACGAUUAAAGAUUUCAUCGGUCAGGGAUGGGGAUGCGUCUGAUUAGCUUGUUGGCGGGGUAACGGCCCACCAAGGCGACGAUCAGUAGGGGUUCUGAGAGGAAGGUCCCCCACAUUGGAACUGAGACACGGUCCAAACUCCUACGGGAGGCAGCAGUGAGGAAUAUUGGUCAAUGGGCGAGAGCCUGAACCAGCCAAGUAGCGUGCAGGAUGACGGCCCUAUGGGUUGUAAACUGCUUUUAUGCGGGGAUAAAGUGAGGGACGUGUCCUUCAUUGCAGGUACCGCAUGAAUAAGGACGGC
rnacentral:rRNA from 1 species